rnacentral:rRNA from 1 species
AUUGAACGCUGGCGGCAUGCCUUACACAUGCAAGUCGAACGGCAGCACGGGAGCAAUCCUGGUGGCGAGUGGCGAACGGGUGAGUAAUGUAUCGGAACGUGCCCAGUCGUGGGGGAUAACGUAGCGAAAGCUACGCUAAUACCGCAUACGAUCUGUGGAUGAAAGCGGGGGACCGUAAGGCCUCGCGCGAUUGGAGCGGCCGAUAUCCGAUUAGGUAGUUGGUGGGGUAAAGGCCUACCAAGCCGACGAUCUGUAGCUGGUCUGAGAGGACGACCAGCCACACUGGGACUGAGACACGGCCCAGACUCCUACGGGAGGCAGCAGUGGGGAAUUUUGGACAAUGGGCGCAAGCCUGAUCCAGCAAUGCCGCGUGCAGGAAGAAGGCCUUCGGGUUGUAAACUGCUUUUGUACGGAGCGAAAAGGCUCCCUCUAAUACAGGGGGCUCACGACGGUACCGUAAGAAUAAGCACCGGCUAACUACGUGCCAGCCGCCGCCGUAAGAC